UACGUAGGGCGCAAGCGUUGUCCGGAAUUAUUGGGCGUAAAGAGCUCGUAGGCGGUUUGUUACGUCCGCUGUGAAAACCCAGGGCUUAACCCUGGGCUUGCAGUGGAUACGGGCAGACUAGAGGCAGGUAGGGGAGAAUGGAAUUCCCGGUGUAGCGGUGAAAUGCGCAGAUAUCGGGAGGAACACCGGUGGCGAAGGCGGUUCUCUGGGCCUGACCUGACGCUGAGGAGCGAAAGCGUGGGGAGCGAACAGG
rnacentral:rRNA from 1 species